CCCAAGAAAUACUAACAUCUGUUUAAGGAUACAAGGAUGGUACUUAAAAGGACAAAUCCAUGAGGUGGGCAUCCUAUCCCCAUGUGACAGAGGAGGAGACGGAGGCUCAGAGAGGGAGAACAGACGCUGCCAGUCGCGCAGGUCCUUCCUCCCCGCGGCUCAGGGAAGAAAGGGCGAGGCCCCUUGUGGGGCAGGAGUGGAGGGGAACCGGCCCGCUGAGUGCCAGGACGCCAGGCACAGAUGGUCGCACACCCAGGGACUGUUGCUGUGGGGCCGCUUCCCUGCUAAUGAGUUAACAGCUCUCUCCUCUGGAAAAGGCUGUUGGCGGAGAAAGGGGCCUCUGGGGCCUCAAGUUCUGCUGGGAUGCAAGAAGUCAGCAGAAUUCUUACUGCAUCUAAUUUCUAAUAAAG
rnacentral:lncRNA from 1 species